ACAUAAAACAAUAAAUCUAUUUAAAUAGUGGAUUUGACCUCUGCCUCCGAUUCCGGAGGGUGUGGGUUCGAAUCCAGUCCGGUGCAUGCACCUCCAACUUUUCAGUUGUGUGCAUUUUAAGAAAUUAAACAUCACGUGUCUUAAACUGUGAAGGAAAACAUCGUGAGGAAACCUGCAUACCAGAGAAUUUUCUUAAUUCUCUGCGUUUGUGACGUCUGCCAAUUCGCAUUGGACCAGCGUGGUGGACUAUUGGCCUAACCCCUCUCACUUUGAGAGGAGACUCGAGCUCAGCAGUGAGCCGAAUAUGGGUUGAUAACGUACGAACGAACUAAACUAUAGCUAUAUACUCAGUAGGUAUAGUUAUAUAUGGCUAAAAAGUAGUUUCGCCACAGAUCGCCAGGGGGCGUCCCUUAGACCAUUAAUAACUGGACGCGGUUCGCACCCAAGUUAUUAAUGGUCUAAGGAUUGUCCAGAGCAGGCCGGGUCAACUCUCGAACAAGGUUUGGUUAUACCUACGGGGGCUAGACCUGUGGUGUCAUCAUCCAUACGGUUCUACCGUCUGGUAGUUGUAGCAAUAUUAUUAUCGUUAGUAGCUCACGCCUGACAUAAUAUUUUGAUAAAUCUAAUACAUUUUUAGAUUUAAAUAUGACUUUAAUAACUGAAUAAAUACUUUUCUUCUACAAAAAUAUAGAGAGACACUCUCGUUGAAUAUUGUUUUAGUAACGUAUGGGUAAGAUUUUCUAAACGAAGUGUGGCAACCCCAAUUACUUAAUAAAAAAUAAAUAUGUUAUAAAAUUAAAAUGGCGUCAUUUCACCAAAUAAAACACGAAUUCACGAAAAAUAAAAUAAAUGUUUGCCACGGCCUGUUAAUAUUUAUGAAGACCUCUUCAUGGAUUGGAUUUAAGCAACCUGCUGUGUAAUAUCCUCGCCAUUCUUGAUGUUGAGAAGAUCUAUAAGUCUUUUGCGUUUCAUCUGAGUGUUGUGGUUUUUCAUUAUGUUAAAAAUAAGACUUUGUUAGUUCAAGUGUCUCUAUAACUAUGAAGAAGAACAAAAGAAAAUGCUUUGAGUGUGGUUCUUCGCCUGCCGAUGAUCCAGAGAAGACCCUACAGAGAUUACAGAAAUUUGAUUCUACAAAUUUAGUCUCCGUAACGUCCAGAUAAUCAAUGAUUAGACUAUUGGACUUUUAGAAUAAAUUUUACAUUGAACUAUGAAUGGUUUGUCAUCUACAUUUUUAAAAAAGACGAGAUGUUUUGCCUGUAAGAACAAGAGAGAGAGAGAAUAAGAAGCAAUCCUGCUUCUUCACAUGAAUUUUACCCGCAUGACGACGGUUUUUAAUAUAAAAAAUAUUUACACAAUGUCUCAAAAAGCAAUCAAAGCUUUCAAAAAUAAACAAUGUUCGCAGAAGUUCAGUACCAACAAACUCACAAAAAAUGAGCCCAAAAUUUAGCAUUACUUGCAAGCCAGAAUUUCAAGAAGAUAAUUUAAAAGAAGACAAUAGAAUAAAAUAAUAUUAACACACAAUGCUUAGCAAAUAUAGCAUUAACAGAUGGAAACCAGGCAAUAGGUGUAGCAAAAUAGAAGAUGAAGGUCUAGCUGUGCCAGUCAGUGCUGAGCCACACAGUUGCUGCUGGCAUGUUUGCAAAAUAUCACAAGGUGUAGCAAAAUAGAAGAUGAAGGUCUAGCUGUGCCAGUCAGUGCUGAGCCACACAGUUGCUGCUGGCAUGUUUGCAAAAUAUCACAAGGUGUAGCAAAAUAGAAGAUGAAGGUCUAGCUGUGCCAGUCAGUGCUGAGCCACACAGUUGCUGCUGGCAUGUUUGCAAAAUAUCACAAGGUGUAGCAAAAUAGAAGAUGAAGGUCUAGCUGUGCCAGUCAGUGCUGAGCCACACAGUUGCUGCUGGCAUGUUUGCAAAAUAGCACAAGGUGUAGCAAAAUAGAAGAUGAAGGUCUAGCUGUGCCAGUCAGUGCUGAGCCACACAGUACAGUUACUGCUGGCAUGUUUGCAAAAUAGCACAAGGUGUAGCAAAAUAGAAGAUGAAGGUCUAGCUGUGCCAGUCAGUGCUGAGCCACACAGUACAGUUGCUGCUGGCAUGUUUGCAAAAUAGCACAAGGUGUAGCAAAAUAGAAGAUGAAGGUCUAGCUGUGCCAGUCAGUGCUGAGCCACACAGUUGCUGCUGGCAUGUUUGCAAAAUAGCACAAGGUGCUGUAAAAUGAAGAUAUAUUGUUAAAUAUCAUGAGACAGAAAUAAAAGAUGAAGAUCUAGCUGUACCCGUCCCGAGCCACACUACUGCAGCCACGUUGCCGCUGGCAUUUUUGCAAAAUAGCACAAGGUCACAACAAUUGAUGUAACAAUUAUAAUCAAUGGACCAGGCACCUGCACCAUGAUUCUUUAGAAUACUAAAAUUCGUCUCUUUAUGUCUGUACUUCUCAUAAUGAAAAAUGUCACAUUUUUAUGAAAGAAAUAAUGGAAUCAAAUAAUAAAUAAAACAAGCAUAUGCUGGAAGUCCUCAGAAACAGCUCCGACUUUGAUGAUUUUUUUUUAAAGUCAUUUUUUUUAUGUUAUUUAAAAUCAGAAAUGUUUUGGUGGACGAAAUUAUUUAAAUUGUUAAAAAAUAUCUAUGCUAUUUAUACAUAUUUUUUUUUAAAUACAACCGACUUCAAAAAUACAAACUUAUGCAGAAAAGUAAUAAACGAAAGAAAAUAUUAUAAUAUUUUCUAUCUAUUGAUCACUUUGAAGGCGGUGCCAAUGGUCCAAUUAAUGGGCCGACAAUUAGUUAUCUAAUGUUUUCCUAGCUAUAGGGUUCGAAUUGCUUUUUCAUAUCUUUAAAAGACUAUCUUCGGAAUGAACCCUUUAUAAUAAAAAAGUAUUAUCAAAAUCGGACCACUCAAUAAAAAGUUAUACUUGGUUGUAUACUAAAAUUAAUGGUUAAUCAAUCAUCCCCUGUUUUUGUAAUGUAAAACCAAGCAUAACUGUUAACAUGAGUAGUCCGAUUUUGAUAAUUCUUUUGAUUGAUCAUUCUUGAUUGUUUUAGUUUAAAACCAAGCAUGUCUUCGAAUUCCGAUUUGAAUAACUUUGUUUUAAAUAGAAAGGGUAUAUUCCGACAAUGGUCCCAAAUCAUUAUAAAUUUUAAUUAUUCCCAUUAAUUGUAUUGUAAAAAUAUGCGUAACUUAUUACGAAGUGGUCCGAUUUCGUAAAUUCUUUAUAGAUUGUAAAGGUAUUUUGAUUGUAAAGCUCCCAUAUAAAUUUUAAAAAACAAUUCCAAUCCUAAAUGUGCGAUUGAUUGUUUUCUCAUUCAUUUUAAUAUAAAACCAAGCAUAACUUUUUAUUGGGUGGUUCGAUUUUGAUUAUUCUUUUUUUGAUAGAAAGGGUAUAUUCCUAAAAGUCUCAUAAAAUGUUGGAAAACAAUUUCAAACCUAAUAGUAGGAAAAUAGAAGAUGAUUAAUUGUUUUCCCAUUUAUUGUAAUGUUAAGCUAUGCGUAACUUUUUACUGAGUGGACCGAUUUUGAAAAUUCUUUACUUUUUGUAAAGGGUUUAUUUCGAAGUAGGUCCCAUAUAAAUUUCGGAAAACAAUUUGAAUCCUUAAGGUGGAAAAAAACGGUACGAUUGAUUGCCUACCCAUUAAUUGUACAAUUGGCACCGGCUUCAGUAAUCAGUAGAUAGAAAAUAUUAUAAUGUUUUCUUCAGCUUAUUAGUUUACUGCAUAACUUUGUGUUUUUGAAGUCGGUAGUGUUUGUUUUUUAAUAAUUUAUUAUAUAAAUAGCAAUAACUAUUGUUAAAUAGUAUAAAUCGUUCCAUCAUCACUCCAAAAGGUUUCUGAUUUCAAAUGAUAUGAAGAAACAAACUGAACAAAAAUAAUCAUCAAAAUCAGAGCUGUUUCUGAGGAGGUAGAGGGUAAAUGCUCUAUUGAUUCGCCUAAAAGUAAUAUUAUGUUAUCGCAUUAGGUUGUAAAGUUUGGCUAAUGAAAGUAGAGACUGAAAUUGCCCGCCAAAUUUAAAAAUCAUAUAAACAAAUUAAAAAACAUGCGUUUUCAUAAUUUAUUUAAAUUAGUUUUUCUUUGUGAAUACAUUAUUACCUAUACUAUAAGUGUUAAACUCAGUUAUUCCAAUAUUUGCACUAUAAUUUUGAGAAUUUACUUCGAUUUUUUAAAAUUUGGCGGGUGAUUUCAGUUUCUACUUUCAUUAGCCAAAUUCUAAUAAUUUUAUUGUUUAUGAAAUUUAUACUAAUUAGAAAGAAGAAGAAUUUGAUUAUUGAUUUGUUUGCAUUGAAUAGGCUGUGAAACUACUUUGCUGAUUUAAAAAUUUGUUACAGCAUUAUAAUCAUGGAUUAGGCCAUAAUUGUUAUCUCUGUAUUCCCACGGGAACGAGAACUACGCUGGUGAAACUGCGUGACGUUUGCAUAGUUUAUCAUAUGUACAAAUAUCCCGACAAUCUAUAUUUUUAUGUAUGAAUUGGUUAAGUUAUAAUUGACUUGAUUUUCCAAAAUAUCUCAGUGAAGUCACCCAAUUGAUGCAUAGAUAUAUUUUUAUUUUGGUUUUCAUUUUACUUUAAAGAUAAAAUUUAGUUUUAGAAGCAAAAUGAAUAUAUUUAGAUUACAUUUUAGGUGCUGAUGUUUACUUAGUUAUUGUUUAAGUGCAUAAGAUUUUUUAUUUGAUAAUAAAGACAUUUCAACUUGAAACUGUUAUUCU